rnacentral:rRNA from 1 species
GAUGAACGCUGGCGGCGUGCCUAAUACAUGCCAGUCGAGCGAACAGAUGAGGAGCUUGCUCCUCUGACGUUAGCGGCGGACGGGUGAGUAACACGUGGAUAACCUACCUAUAAGACUGGGAUAACUUCGGGAAACCGGAGCUAAUACCGGAUAAUAUAUUGAACCGCAUGGUUCAAUAGUGAAAGACGGCUUUGCUGUCACUUAUAGAUGGAUCCGCGCCGCAUUAGCUAGUUGGUAAGGUAACGGCUUACCAAGGCAACGAUGCGUAGCCGACCUGAGAGGGUGAUCGGCCACACUGGAACUGAGACACGGUCCAGACUCCUACGGGAGGCAGCAGUAGGGAAUCUUCCGCAAUGGGCGAAAGCCUGACGGAGCAACGCCGCGUGAGUGAUGAAGGUCUUCGGAUCGUAAAACUCUGUUAUUAGGGAAGAACAAAUGUGUAAGUAACUAUGCACGUCUUGACGGUACCUAAUCAGAAAGCCGCGGCUAACUACGUG